rnacentral:rRNA from 1 species
UACGUAGGGUGCGAGCGUUAAUCGGAAUUACUGGGCGUAAAGCGUGCGCAGGCGGUUUUGUAAGCCAGAUGUGAAAUCCCCGGGCUUAACCUGGGAAUGGCAUUUGGGACUGCAAGGCUCGAGUGCGGCAGAGGAGACUGGAAUUCCUGGUGUAGCAGUGAAAUGCGCAGAUAUCAGGAGGAACACCAAUGGCGAAGGCAGCUCACUGGUACGGUACUGACGCUGAGACGCGAAAGCGUGGGAAGCAAACAGG